GGUAUUAUUACCGAGUGGAGAAAGUUUAAAAAAAAAAAAAAAAAGUGCAAGAGCUAGGAUUCAAACCCAGCUUCUCGGGCCCAAGUUGUAAUCGGCCCAACCAACCAACUGAGCUACACGAUUUUUGUUAACCUUAUAUGGAGCGAAUAAUAUCUAAGCAGUAGUAAAUGAAUAGAGAAUAAAUAGGAAGAAAAAUAGUUGCAGCUGAGACUCGAACCCGCGAGCCGCGUAUUAAGCAGAACGCAGCCAACCAAUUGUGCCAGCGGCUAUUGUUAAUUAAGGAGAGAACGGACAAUAUUUAAGGGUUAACAGAGAACAAAUUACCUAGGUUAUAAAGAGAGGACUUUAGUGAUUUUCGGACAAAAAACCUAAACUCCUCUUCUCUCUCGCGACGGCGCCGACUCUUUCGGGCGAUUUUCUUUCUCGGGCGAAAAAGGGGCGACGGCGCUAGGGCUCGUCUCCGGCGGCCGGCGAGGACUUCUUUCCGGGAGUUGUUCGCGGAUUCGUGGUCUCCUCGUCAAGGAGAACACGCGGAUAGGAAGGGAUCGCCGAGACCUCCACUUCAUCCAAACCGUAGAGCACUUCCCCUUCGGUUGUAAGUUCAAGAACACAAGAUGUCGAGAAGAGGACGUCCCCGUACCGCUCGUGUUGAGGACCAUGUUCAGGAGAAUGAGGUGCCAGGCUCAACUGAGCCCAAUCUUUCUGAAGUUGUUGCCCAACUUCAGAAACAAGUAGCUGAACAGCAGCAAGUAAUUGCCAAUCUGAUGGCAAAUCAGCAACCAGUCCCUCCUACUCCUCAAACAGU